GCACAACAGGCGCUUCGGAUGCUGUACUCGCCAAAUUCUUUGGCUUGCAGACGCAACCACUCUCAACCAGCACGUAAUCCUGACCGGUUAGGGUCACCGGCCCCAAAGGAAUCACCAAAAACAGAGAAAGGAAGACUCGAUCGAUAUUCGUUUUCGAUUAUAUCAUAAAAAGGAUUUAUUUAACGUCAACCUGUAUUCGAAAAAUAAUUGAAGAGUAGGCCAAAGUAUGUUAUUUACGAACAUUAAGUAUCGUUGAACGUAUCUGGCCUAGUGUGCUACAUUUGAAAUAAAACGAAUCGCUGACAGAA